CAAUCGCGAUAAGUAAUACGAAUUGCAGGUCUCUGUGAAUCAUCGAAACUUCGAACGCACUGCGCCCGGGAGCAAUCUCGGGCACAUUCGGUUGAGUGACAAUUUUAAUUUUUGAUACCCAGUAUCACUGUCGGUGGUUUUUGGUACCCCCAAAAUCCGCUUAGAAUCUACCGCUUUUUUCUUUUUGUCGGCGGGGUUGCCUCCCCAUUGGAAACUGGAUUUUUCCGACCUCCGAUGCUGUGUGGCCCUUAGACUGGAAACACUGAAGUGUGGAUACCUUGGGGGUGUGCCUCACUCCAUACCAUCCGCCGCAGGUGAAUCUUAUCGGCCCGACAAAAUACAUGAGAAAAGUUCUACAAACCAAUUUUUAGGGGGAACAAAAAUAGAGAGGGAGGGGGGAGUUUUCGGAUUGCCCCAACCUUCUCGCCCUUGUUUUCGCUGAAUUUUUCUAAAUUUGUCCUCAACUCGAGUGUGACUACCCGCUGAACUUAAGC
rnacentral:misc_RNA from 1 species